rnacentral:rRNA from 1 species
UGCCAGCCGCCGCGGUAAUACGAAAGGGGCUAGCGUUGUUCAGAAUUACUGGGCGUAAAGCGCGCGUAGGCGGUCUAGCAAGUUGGGGGUGAAAUCCCGGAGCUCAACUCCGGAACUGCCUCCAAAACUGCUAAACUAGAGGAUGUGAGAGGUGAGUGGAAUUCCGAGUGUAGAGGUGAAAUUCGUAGAUAUUCGGAAGAACACCAGUGGCGAAGGCGGCUCACUGGCACAUUACUGACGCUGAGGUGCGAAAGCGUGGGGAGCGAACAGGAUUAGAUA